GACGAUGUCCCGCAACUGCUGAGGCUG
rnacentral:sRNA from 1 species